UUUCUAUUUCAUGCGUCCCAAAAUUCUUGUCUUCGAUUUGUCUAUAAAUGGAUGUAUCUAGAUACAUCCAUUUAUAGACAAAUCGAAGACAAGAAUUUUAGAUACAUCCAUUUAUAGACAAAUCGAAGACAAGAAUUUUGGGACGGAGCACAUG
rfam:Hordeum vulgare subsp. vulgare, WGS project CAJW01000000 data, contig: morex_contig_1567396